rnacentral:tRNA from 1 species
GCCUGGGUGGCUCAGUCAGUUGAGUGCCUGACUUUGGCUCAGGUCAUGAUCUCACAGUUAGUGGGUUCAAGCCCUGUGUCAGGCU